ACGAACGCUGGCGGCGUGCUUAACACAUGCAAGUCGAGCGGAGAUUGCAUUUAUGUAAUCUUAGCGGCGGACGGGUGAGUAACGCGUAGCAACUGCUUGCCAGAGGGAUAACACCGGGAAACUGGUGCUAAUACCACAUGAUAUCAUUUUAACAAGGCAUCUUGAAAUGAUCAAAGGAGAAAUCCGGUGCAGAUGGGCCUGCGUCCGAUUAGUUAGUUGGUGAGGUAACGGCUCACCAAGGCGACGAUCGGUAGCCGAACUGAGAGGUUGAUCGGCCACAUUGGGACUGAGACACGGCCAGACUCCUACGGGAGGCAGCAGUGGGGAAUAUUGCGCAAUGGGGGGAACCCUGACGCAGCAACGCCGCUGUGAAGUGAAGAAGGCCUUCGGGUUUGUAAACUUUUUUGAUUGGGGAAGAAAAAAUGACGGUANCCCAAGGAACAAUGCCACGGCUAACUACCGUGCCAGCAGCCUGCGGUAAUANCGUAGGUGGCGAGCGUUGUCCGGAAUUACUUGGGGUGUAAAGGGCGGUGUAGGCGGGAUUGUAAGUCAGAUGUGAAAUUCNCCAGGGCUUAACUCUGGAGGUGCAUCUGAAACUAUAAUUCUUGAGUGCUGGAGAGGAAAGCGGAAUUCCUAGUGUAGCGGUGAAAUGCGUAGAUUUAGGAAGAACACCAGUGGCGAAGGCGGCUUUCUGGACAGUAACUGACGCUGAGGCGCGAAAGCGUGGGGAGCAAACAGCGAUUAGAUACCCUGGGUAGUCCACGCUGUAAACGAUGGAUACUAGCGUGUAGGAGGUAUCGACCCCUUCUGUGCCGGAGUUAACACAAUAAGUAUCCCA
rnacentral:rRNA from 1 species